rnacentral:tRNA from 1 species
GGUGAGAUGGCUCAAUGGUUAAGAGCACUGGUUCAGACGACCUGGGUUCAAUUCCCAGCACCC